rnacentral:rRNA from 1 species
UACAGAGGUCCCAAGCGUUGUUCGGAUUCACUGGGCGUAAAGGGUGCGUAGGUGGCCAGGAAAGUCUGAUGUGAAAUCUCCGAGCUCAACUCGGAAAUGGCAUUGGAAACUAUUUGGCUAGAGGGUCGGAGGGGGGACUGGAAUUCUCGGUGUAGCAGUGAAAUGCGUAGAUAUCGAGAGGAACACCAGUGGCGAAGGCGAGUCCCUGGACGACUCCUGACACUGAGGCACGAAAGCUAGGGGAGCAAACAGG